UGGAGCCAAGUUGGGAGAAAGGCUUUUAUCUUAGAGGCAAUAAAGCUGCUUCAGCAAGGGAGUGACAUGGUCAGGUAUAUAUGCCAUGCUUAAUGUUACUGCCAGUACUUUGGGAUAUGGUUCAAAUGAGUUUGGCCUUUAUCAUGUGAAGAAGUGAGUGCCAUCAGCUUCUCUCUGAAGAGUCCAACAAUAGAGUAUUCAUCAAAAAGCAGCAGUCAGAACACAUGAGACAACAGCACACAGGGGCCCCAGAGGCCAGGCUAGAGGUCAGUGCCUAGCAUUUUGUGGAUAAUUGCCCCACCAAGUCACUAUAAAUGAAACUCCUGGCCAAGGCAGAUGGAAACUCCCAUUUAAUUUUGCCAUGUAUAAGAAAAAAA
rnacentral:lncRNA from 1 species